AUACUUACCUGGGCGGGGUCGAUGGCUGCUCAUCAAGGGCCAUGGCCUAGAUUAGUGACCUCCAUUGCACUUGGGAGGGGUACUCGUCUAAGAUCUGCCCAGAGUGGCAGAGUCUACGUCAUAAUUUGUGGUAGAAGGGGUUCGCGUGCGCGCGACCCCUG
rnacentral:snRNA from 1 species